GGAGGUCUGUGGCUCAGUAGGUAAGUCACUUGCUUUGCAUGCAGAAGGUCCCAGGUUCAAUCCCUGGCGAUUCCA